rnacentral:tRNA from 1 species
GGGGGUAUAGCUCAGUGGUAGAGAGAGUGCUCACCUAGCAUACGGGAGGCUCUGGGUUCAGUCCCCAGUACUACCA